rnacentral:lncRNA from 1 species
AUUCUACCCCACAGUGUCUGCUCCAUGCCCAGGAGGAUAAGAGCUGUGGCUUCUCUGUCUUGAGUGGAUGAAUUCCAACUGAUAAAAGUGGCUUAUGGGACAGAUGCGAUACAAUCAAAGCAAAUUGAGGAAGAAAGUAAAAACAAAUCAAUCUGGAAGAGAAUUUUCAAGGUGGUAUUAACACAUGUAACUGGAAUCUUCAAGCACAAGAGAGAGUGGGAGGAAGGUCAAAGGAUUGAAGUAGACUAGAUCUGAAAAAAGCAUGAAAAGAAAAUACAUCCAUAAAUCUCUACUCAACAAUUCCAAAUCACAACAGAACAUCAAAGCGAACUGACGACUACUUGCAAAAAGAAGAAAAAUUACCCGAGGGCAGUCAGAUGAAAACAGGCUACUUUGCAUUCUUUGGAAGAAAGAUGUAAGUGCAGCAGAGAGGACUAUUGGAUGUUAUGCAAAUCUAG